GACGAACGCUGGCGGCGUGCUUAACACAUGCAAGUCGAACGAUGAAGCCGGAGCUUGCUCUGGUGAAUUAGUGGCGAACGGGUGAGUAACACGUGAGUAACCUGCCCUUGACUCUGGGAUAACUGCUAGAAAUGGUAGCUAAUACCGGAUACGACCCUCGGCGGCAUCGCCAGGGGGUGGAAAGAAUUUCGGUCAAGGAUGGACUCGCGGCCUAUCAGCUAGUUGGUGAGGUAACGGCUCACCAAGGCGACGACGGGUAGCCGGCCUGAGAGGGUGACCGGCCACACUGGGGCUGAGACACGGCCCAGACUCCUACGGGAGGCAGCAGUGGGGAAUAUUACACAAUGGGUGCAAGCCUGAUGCAGCAACGCCGCGUGAGGGAUGACGGCCUUCGGGUUGUAAACCUAUUUUAGUAGGGAAGAAGCGAAAGUGACGGUACCUGCAGAAAAAGCACCGGCUAACUACGUGCCAGCCGCCGCAGUAA
rnacentral:rRNA from 1 species